UAAAUAAAAGUUAACAGUGAAAAGAGUCUUGAUGAACAAGUCUUGAUUGUUGCAGCAGGUGUUUGAAACAUGGCUGUGAUAUUAUGUGUUACCAGUUCAAUUAUUAUAUUAUAUCUAUAUUUGACAGGCAUAAAUAGCGAACAGUGUGUUCGUACUAAUGGUGUGGUGACAGAAUCUCAGUUUUGUUUGUUUGGCUGUUGUGAUGCCAAUUUCGAUAUUGCAACUGGAUUUAAUAACAAAAAUUUAUGUUGUACAAUAACUCUAGAAACUAUAAUAGGAAUAGUUGUUGGUAGUCUCGUGCUGCUCCUUAUUUUGAUUGGAUGCUGUCUUAUCUGCUGUUUACGAUGUGGUAAAUCAACAAUUGGCACCAAUACCCAAAAAGGUCAAAGUUCAAAUGAUGUAGCUGGGCAUCAUCCGUACCAGCCCAUUGGAGAGUCCAGUUAUCCUGUUCAGAAAUCAGGAUAGCCGAUAUGACAACCUUAACUGUAACUUAUAAACUCAAGAAAGCUCAAAACAUUAAUAUAUUUUAGCCUGUCCGGGGACGGAGUUUAGAAAAGUGGGUUAUUAAAUGUUAUCUGUAGUGCUACAAAAUCACACAAACAAUGACGAAUUUGCUUAAAAUGUAAACACUUCACAAUUAAAUAAAACUUAAAAUAGCACAAA